ensembl:lncRNA
UGAGAGAUGAAUCUGCAGGGAGACAGGGGGCGUGUGCCAUCAGAUCUGUCUCCCCAAUUCACGAUUUGGGGCAAAAUCUAAGAGGUUAGGGAGAAGAGGCUGGCACACAGAAACACUGGCAGGACAGGUUUUGAGUGGUAGGCUUCAGGCAUUUGUGGUAAGGUUCUAAACAUUUAUGAUGAGGUUCUAAACAUUUAUGAUGAGGUUCUAAACAUUUAUGGUAAGGUGGGUAAGGAAUUCUAACACCAGAUCUUCCAGAAUGAUGGACCUCUCACUUCUGAAUUUCCAGCUGACACAUGGUAGUUGUUAGAGGUGCUUACCCACGAAGAUAGCAGCUGGCUUGCCAGGAUUAGAACAUGCCAUGUGGUUCCUCUGAUGGCAAGGAGAGCGCUUUUUUCCUCUAACCACUUAGCAUCAUGACCUUCAUCAAUCAGCCCAACACCCAAUCUUUCAGCCAAGGAGCAGCGGAUUCUUAAGAAGCUUUUUUCUUGUUUUUCUCCUGGAAUGUUCCUACCACAAGAUCAAAGCCACACUCAGAAAUAUCUCUGCAUGGUAUCUAUGCUGAUAUUUUUUUCUCAGCACAAAACAAGAAAGAGUGGCAUUGGCCCAGUGGUCCAGAAGCUGUUAUCCCAGAGAUGAGUGAAGGGAGGUAAUAAGAUCUUUCUGGCUUUAUCUCUGAUCCCAGAAGCCUGAGUUCCAAAAGGUCAAGACGGCGGCAUCUCUUAGAGCUGUGAAUUAUGGGCCAGGAGCGAACUAAGCUGGGCCUGGAUUGAGAGGAGUUAGUGCACGGGGCACAGCAGUCCAGAUGCGACUGCCUCCCUUGCAGUGUGCCCCAGCAUGGCUUAGGCCAACACUCCACCUCCUGCCCUCCUGCCUGUCCAGCCCUUUCUCUUUGCUCCCACUGUGCCUGUCUUCCUCUCAGGGGCUUCACCUGGCUUUCCCUACGCCUUAGCCAGCCUGGCCAAUCAGCCUCUGCUCUCUCCUUGUCCUCUUCAUGCCUCAGUUUCCACUGCUGCCCUCCCCAGCUGCUCUCUAAAUGCUGAUGUUCCUGGGUUUCUCUCUUGGGCCCUCCUUGGGUGAUUUCACCCACGCCCCUGGCUUCAGCUGCCUCCAGGAUGCUAAACUAUGUACUGGCAGCCCAGAUUUCCAACUCGGCUAUCUCCUUAUAUCCAAGCUCCAGCUGCCUUCUAGAGAGCUCCACCUUGAUGUCCUUCUAGCACUGCAGUCAAUGUGUGCUUUCAUUCAACGAGUCUCCCAGAAGUGCCUCGUGUGGGCAUCUGGAGUGACAGUCCCACUUUAUACAGCAGACAAUGGUUGGCACCAAUGGCACAAUUGCAGACUUUAGAAAAACUAGCAGAUUCCCUUUGGGCACAAAGAAAGAAUGUCUUUUCGUAUGCCUUCCUUCAGCUCUUCUUUUUUGCCUUCUGCCAAAUCCUUAAGCAGUUCCAUUCUUUGAUUCGCCUGAGAUAAUAGAAUGCAGUUUAUAAAAGCAUUUAUACCCUCCUCAGGUAUCAUGGCACAGGGCAUGGUGGGCUCCUAUUUUCCAAACUAGCAAAUUUCUGUCAUACCUUCCUCCUUCCCGCACCGUCAGUACCCAGCUCAGCUCAAUGCUACAUCCUAAAUCUCUCUUGAUGUUGUCCCUUUCUCUCCAUCCCACUGCCUAGGGCAGGCUUCAUCACCUUUAUCCUCUAACAACUUCCAGUCUGAUUUUCAUCACUCCCGUCUCUCUAGGCUGUCUAGUUACCUCCUAAAACACAAAUGCAUCAUGCCAACACACAUUUGAUGACUUCAGUCGCUUUUAAGUAAAGCCCAACUCCGGCGUCUGGUACACCAGGCCCUUCGAAGUCAGCCUCAGAUGACCUUACCAACUGCCUCUCCAGUCACUCCCCGGGAACCCAGAUACUAUUGAAAUGAGAAUCUAAUCUGAGGGAUGGAUAUUUAUUGAAAGGGCUUCUGGAAGCAAAGAAUAAGCUCUUAAGAGAAACUCUCCCGGUGGAAGCCUGUUCCGAAGGCAGUCUACACGCUGGUAUAGUCCACUCUCCUGCAUCACAUCACAGUCACAAGCACAGGCUCUGGGACCAGACAGCUCUGGUCAGAAUCCCGAUUCUGUCGUGCACCAGCGGUCCACACUGGGGUGGCCUCUUGAGUCUCAGUAUCCGCGUCUGGAAAGAGGAGAAUAACUCAGACUGCACCGGCAGGGUGUGGAGCUCUCAGCUUGGUGUUGGGCACACAGGUGUGGUCUACCAGCAGUUGCUCUUUAUUGUUGUUGUUGUUAUGAGGGUCCUCAGUAAAUUUGAAGUGAGAGCAGAAGUUCUAAAUCAGAGCAGAACACUAUUAAAAUAUUGGUGGAUUUUAAUGGUCACUAUUAAAAUAUUGACCAUUUGGAGAGGUAUAAUGAGAGAGAUUGCAUCUGAAUGUAAGUGUAGACGAAAAGAAAAUUAGUAAAGCAACUUGUUACAACCCAAGACUGGCACAUAGGCAGCACCUCUCCUUGGCAAAAUAGGGCAGGUGGGGAGGAGGGAAGAUGUGUCUGGCCACCAACAGAGGGUCAGCACUCAAACCCCAUUUAGGUUCCAGACGGCAGCAAGUUCCCACCUGGAGAGGGGGAAGCAGCCCCAGAAACUCAGGCAUCAGGUGAUCUCGUCCAGAAUUCCAGCUCCUAGGAAGAGAGACAGUGAGAACCACGCAGAAGCCAUGUCCUCUGGUGAUGAAGCCCUGGGCUUCUCCUGAGGUUCUGGACACCCCUACUCUGCCCACGGGAUUGGUAGCCAAGCGCAGCUGGGACCAAGAUGGGAAACUGGGGGCCAGCUAGGGGCCCCAUUGUGCAACCUAAAUGUAUACAAUUUUUAUUUGUCAAUCAUACAUCAACAAAGCUGGGGGGGAAAUAAG